rnacentral:rRNA from 1 species
GGAGUCUGGUCCGUGUCUCAGUACCAGUGUGGGGGACCUUCCUCUCAGAACCCCUAACGAUCGAUGGCACGGUGGGCCGUUACCCCGCCGUCUACCUAAUCGUACGCAUCCCCAUCCCUUACCGAUAAAUCUUUAUUCCUAAUCAGAUGCCUUCAAAGGAAACUAUAAGGUAUUAAUCCAUCUUUCGAUGGGCUAUCCCUUACUCAGGGGCAGGUUGGAUACGCGUUACUCACCCAUUCGCCGGUCGACGCCUAAAGAAAGCAAGCUUUCAAUAUCGUUUCCCCUCGACUUGCAUGUGUUAAGCCUGUAGCUAGCGUUCAUC